rnacentral:lncRNA from 1 species
AUCAACUCCCGGGUCUGCACUUAGAAGCAGGGAUGGGGGCUUGUGGCUCCAGUCGUGGCUCCCCAGGGUGGGGGUAAAAGCCCCUGUGGGGUCAUCCCAGGGGCAGCGCUGUGAGGGGUGGGUCCCGGAGCAUAAAGCAUGAGGGCUCCCCCGCACCCAGGACUGAGGGCCUCCAGGGUGCAUCCUGGACACCAGCCCAGCAUUUCUGCAUUCCCUGCACAACCUGGGACAUGAAAGAGCACACACUCUGCCAACCCUCUGGCCCCUGGGCCUCUGAACUGAGGAAAUGGCUGAAUAAUUAAUGAGGCUGGAGCACUUCAGAGAGGGGGCCCCCGGGGACAGUGUGGGCAGAGGAAGGGGCAUGGACAAGUGAGGGCGGGGGACCUGGCAUGUGGAGAGAUGCCAGGAGUCCUGAUGAAGUCUGUGGCUGUGGCUUCCACUGCAGUUCACAGCUGUUGACUCACACGGAGGAAAGUGACCACGAGAGCUUGCAUACGGAUUGUGUUGCAAACCCUCAGCCUGUUGCACAUCUAACCUCCCAGUGGUGUCACUAUUGUCCCCCCACCUCAAGCUCCCUACCAAGAAAAGCUACCUGUGGACUUUUCAGAGGUAGUUCGUGGGACUGGAUUUAGGCUGGAUCCCGGGAACCCUUGCUAAGAUGAGGGCUACAGGACAGGAGACUUUCUGGGGCAUUUAGAGAAGGGCCAGACCAGCCAGGAGGGUGGUUGUGGUACAUGUGACUUCCAGCAGGUGCUGGACAAGGGUGGCUUGCAUGGCAGUUCCCAGAGGGGAUCAAGGGUCCUUAGAGGCAUCCCUGCCAGGUACUUGGUUGCUUCUGGUGAUGAGAUGCUCUCUUCUUUUGAGGCUGCAGCUCUAUUAUGUGGACAUCCAAGCAUGUGACCUGGGGACUUCCCAUCUCUUGUUUUGUCUGUCGACUCAACACUACCCUUACCCUUUCUGCAGGCCCCAAAGGGGCAGCAGCUCCCCAAACUCAGCCUGCAGAAAUAGGGUACGCACCUUUGUUGAGUGCUUGCCACGUGUCUGGUUCUUUCCUGACUGAGUCUACUGGAUAGUUCAGAUGUGUAAGCAGGAGUGCCUCCCCUUUAAAGAGAAAUAAACUGAGGCACAGAGACACUGAGUACUUGGUUCAAAUCACACCCCUAAUAGCGGGUGAGUUGGGGUCCAAAUGCAUGUGGCUGAGCUGGGAUUGGAACUUCAGGCCCUUUGCGUGUCAAUCUGGAACUGGAGGAGGCUCUCAUUCUUUUGCUGGGCGUUUUGAGGGCCUUUGAGUCGGGCUCACUGUUGGCGCAGCUUCUCAGGUGCUGCCCACUGCCCCAGCCGCCCAGCUCGCUCAAGCCCUUCUCAGCCUAAAGCAACUACUAGAGCAGCUGUCAGACUCGGGAGCCUGCCUGGGCCUGGAUCUCCUUCCCACGCUUCCUUUCCCCCUUCUUUGCAAAGCCUGGUUGAAGCAGGUGGAUGUCCUGUAUUUGCCGGGUGGAUGGGACCCACCUGUUACCCCCUUCUCCCUGGUCUUGCUGUGGGGCACUUGCCCAGGCUUUCUUUCUCUGCUAACACCCAAGCAUGCCACCAAAGCAAGUGGAGGACCCCUCCUUUAAGCUCAGCAUUGGCUUAUGCCCACCCUCUCUGCACAUCCUUCCGGCUCUGCAUCCCUUGGCUCUGAUUGGCUUAGGGCUUUCCUGUGCACCUCAGGUGCAUGCUUGUCCAGCACCAUGUAUGGUCUGAAGAAACUCAGGAGGGCUUCCUGGAGAAGGUGGUCUUGUAGUACUAGGCGGCAGUAGCUCACUCUGAAGUCCCUGCCGGGCACAGACACAGGGCCUGAAGGUGCCGGCUGUGGGGAGGAGGCACAGACGGAGGAAGGAGGGAAUGCUGCCGGAGCCUGGCCAGCCCAGGGUCGAUGGACAGAGUGUCCGCAGACCUCCCACGAACACUUUGCACAGAUUGUCGUGAACCGACACCAGCAGCACCCCAGCUGCUCCUCUCUUCCUAGCCCCAUCCUGGCUGGUUGGGCACAGAUUAAAUCAUUGGAUGGUCUUGACCCUGGCGUCUGGUGGAGGUUGGGAGGCUGCAGUGUGAGUUGCCUGCCAUGAAGCAUGGCAGGAACUUCAGCUUCAUCUGGCUGGCGGCCCCUCUGCCAGGGCAGUGGGCAGGAGCUGGUCAGGUGGUCCGCGCUGCACCACCCUCUGCUUCUUGUGGGGGGCGUCCAGUGCUCCCUGCAGAGGGCUCUGGGCACUGUAAGAACAGGCCGGUCUUGCAUUUUAACACAAAAACACUUUAUUGACCUUUAGCCAGCAAGGGAGGAAUUGAGGCCAAGGGCGCAUCCAUUCCUCCUGAGAGGGAGGCCUUCUUAGGGAACUCUGAAACCAGACUAGGAGGGGCUAGUGUGCGCCACCGUGGAGCCUCCUUCUGACUUGAGUGGGGCCGCAUUUCCUGUGUUUUGGGGACCCUGAAAGGCAGUUGCCAACUAUGACAGCACAGUGAGGGGCUGGCCUCUUAGGUGUACCCAGCCAGCGUCCUCCAGCCCGACCUGGAGCAGCAGCCCUUGGGUUCUCGGAGCAGGGCCCCAGGCUGUCUGCUCGGCCUUGGGGUUCUGCCCCAUGGGUGCCAGGUGGCUGCUCAGGGCCCUGGCGUCUGGCCGACCCUGCCCACUUGUGGGCAUGAGGAUGGGGCUGGUACUCCUUUCCCUGCCACCCCUUCGCUGGGGUGUCCUGCUGCUCCCAGAGCUGCUUCACGUCACCAAUGUGGCCUUGUGGGGCGUGCCCAGGCUUCAGGUAGUCACAUACUGCUCUGGAGGGCUCACCUUGCCUUAGGCCAGAAUCCAGGACUGGCCAGCACCACAGGGGGCUCAGUCCCCUCAGUCCUCAUCCUAGCUGUGCGGGCGCUCAUGGUGCCCCUGCCCUCCCAGUGCCUGGGUUCAGGCCAGGCCCCUCUGGGUCAGGGACUUGUUCUGUGUGAGAGGGCACCAUCUGCCAGGAAGGCUGGCUUGAAGAGGCAGGGCAUCCUGCUGGCUGGCUGGGGCCUCGGGGCCCCCUUGCUUGUGAUCACUCUCCCCUCUGGAGGACCCUCAGUGUCCAGAUUCCCUGUAGACAUCGAGGUCAGGGGGGUGUGGACGUUUGGGACCUCUAGGCAGGUUGCCCGGUCCUGCUGUGGCUCUGUCUUGGCCAUGACAGUCACUGUCCUGAGAGGGUCAUAGGCUGUAGGUGCCACAGGGCAGGAGGGGUGUCCUGGGUCUUAUGGCUCAGUCUUCAGCAGGCUGGGCAGGGAUCCCAGUGAUAGGGGUCCCAAUGGGUGGCAGGGCUGGUCCUGUCGUGUGGCCCUGGGGGUGGCCCAGGCAAAUGUUGAAGGGAAAGGGACCCAGUGUUCCAGCUCAAAGCUGAUGUCUGGGGGCCAACUGCCUGCUGCCUCCUGGCUCAUGGGAGGUUUGGGAGGGAAUUCUGUCGUCAUGGCUACAGCCAGUCCCAAGAGCUGUCCUGGGCUGGGGCCAGGCAGGCCAGACCCAGAGUCUCAGGGUCCCAGAGAGUGGUUUGCAGCUGUGGGCCUUGUGGAGGUCCCCUCAUGCUGCUGCUCCCAGGCCUCAGGGACAGCCUGGUUGGGCGAGGGUCCCAGCUGCUCGUGCUGGGUGAGUGGGCCAGGGAGGGCCAGCCCAUCCUCUUAAGGGAGCAUCUCAGUGCUGGGAAAGGUGAAGAGGGGCCUGGGCAGCAGGGGCACUCACUCCAGGCCCAUCGGUCCCAGAACAUGAUGUGGUUUCAGAAGGUAUAGGUCACAUCUAGGUCGAUCUGCUUUAUGUCCUGAGAGAAAAGCUUGGGUUGCUCCUUCAUUUUCUGUGGGCGGAACCCAGGAGGAGGAGCCAGCAUCAGAGAUUCAGAACAUUAACUGCCACCAACUGCCAUCAGAAAUGGAGCGGGCGCUGCUGGCUGGAACCUUCUGAACGUCCAAUCGGAGAGACCACACCUGAUCUUGCAUCUGUCAAAGGAUUCCUUUGGAGACCUUCGAUGCUUCUACAGGAUAGAAGAAAGCUCUGGUGAAACAGGCCACAGGGCGACGCUGCGGAGGAGAUGAGUCGGACGCAUCUGGAAGAUUCUAGUCUUCAGCUCCGUGGUUUCUCAGAAGAGGUUGGGUUUACCCAGAACUGGGCCCUGUCUCCCACAAUUAAGAGUGGACGAGGGCUCGAGGGACAUUGUGAACUAUGGUCCUGACUUAUCCUUCCCUAUGAGGCCCUGGGCCUGGGCUGGCUCCGGCUCUGGCGUCAGAUCCUCUCCAGGCGAGGUGACCCUUGUGGGGUGGUCAGGGAAGCUGCGAGCUGCCCUGGGGAUCCAGGCCCGUCCUCCUUGGGAUCAGGAGAGCAUACCGCCUAUCUAGUGCUCAGUUCUCUAUCUUCUUGCUGCUCUGGUAUUUAUACCAUUCCUUUAGCAUCUUGACCCACUUAUCUGCUCGCCCAGUCUCCCGGAGUUUCUGCUAGAAAAUGAGAAAUGGUGGUGUUAGCCAAGCUGCCAGCUUUCCUGGAGUGGCACAGCGUUGAGUCAUGCUUAGGAGCCCCGAUGUGGGCGAACUCAGAGGAGCCAGAAAAGGCACAGACUGACUCACACAGACACCAGGGCUUCCAGCUGGGUCCCAGCCUCGAGGUGGGGUCUUGGCAGCCAGCGGGCAGUGACCCCUGAGCUGAGUGUGUGGUUCUGGGACAAGUGGAUUUGGUAAAACCUCCCCCAGGACAGCUUGGAGGUCGGGGGUGGCAGGAACCCCAGUCCCUGCACCCAUGGACCUCCUCCUGCCUGCACAGUGAGGACAAGCUCUUACCAUUACCGGCCCCCCCCCCCCCCCCCCCCCCCCCGCCCCGGGUGCUGAGGCUGGGCAGCUCCUUCUCACUGGAAGGCAAAAGAAGCAGAGCCAUGAGGACCUGCCCCAGGCCAGGUGCCAGGGAAGGACCAGGCCCUCCCCUCACUAAACCCCAAGUCUCAGCCCAGGUGACUCUGGAAGGGAGGGCUAACCCCAGGAGGGUGCCAGCAACAUGGGGCAGAGGGAGGGCAGCGGCUGCCAGGUGCUUAUGGGGCUCCAGCCACAGUCAUGCCAGAGGCAGUGGCCUCUGUAGGAGCCUAAGAAGGGACAGUGCUGGCACGGGGAAUGGGCUGCGUCCUGAUAGCAGGCCCCCAGAAGGUGACCUGCCACUGUCCUGGGGUUGGGCCAGCCUGAGAACUCCCCAGUACAGCCAGGGUACACCCUGUGCCCAUCCUGCUGACAUCCUCAUGCCCCUCAUGGGUCUGUCUGCCGUCUAUCCUGCCUCUCUCUGCACCCCUCCCGUCCCCUGACUUCACCCCUCUCUCGUCCGUCACUUCAGCCACUCUGGCCUAUCUUUUACCCCUUAUCUUGUCAGAACCUCUGAGCACGACCCACCCCUGAUUGGCCCAAACAACUGCUCAUCCACUGGGCAAUGAGUGUGACCGAGGGGCAGACAGGUUGGCCCCGUGCCGUGUAUCCAGCCUCAGCCUGCUUCUCAUGGUGGCCGUUGGCUUCCUUCCCUCCCACUGCAGCAUCACCGCACAGCCUGCUGCGCUCUCUACCUUCACACUCCAUGCACCAGGGCAGCCUCCUCCCCAUCCUCCCUUCUGCUGAUGGGGGUCAUCCACCCUCUCUGCUCUGCACCACCACCCCUCCCCCGCCUGAUCAUGGCGCCUCCUCCACGGCUUCUCGCCUGCACUUUUGACCAGCAGUGUCUUUAGAGAGCACUGCAGAGGCCUUCAUGCCUUCAGGACUGACCGAGGCUCCUGGCUCAGGUGUCUCAGGUGAGUCGCUUUGGCCCUGGGCCUCUCCCCAUUCCAGGCUGUCCUCCCCCAAAGAGGAUGCCACCAUCCCAGGAGCCCAGCGCCUUCGGCCCUGCUGCAGGCUAGCUCCGUCCAGGUAGACACACACACACACACACACACACACACACCACCCUAAUCCCAUCCUCCUCCAGUGUCCUCUCCUCUCACCCUUGACAACAACCUGGCCCGCCUUCCACCCCAAAUCUCCUCCUAGCACCAGACCAAGGGGUCAGGUUGUCUUCAGCCUCAAACUCGACCUGCCUGUCACCAUCCCAUGAGAUUCUGAGGCCAGGUCCUGCCAGAAUGCUCCCCCUGCCUGUCCCCUCAAUGCCUGAGGCCACACCCCUUGUUGCCCUCAUGCUAGUCGCCACAUGGCCACUCAACUGGGCCCACUUGAGCCCUCGGAGACCUGCUGGACAACUGCCCACAGGCUUGCUCAGGUGCCCCUCACCCUGUGGAACCACUGCUGACCGGGCUGGACUCUCCCUCUGGCCUGGGAGGUGGACACCAUCACCCCCUCUCCGUUACGGGCAUGGAGGCCACACUGCUGAAGGCCCAAGCACCUGGCCCAAUGCCCAGCUCCACCCCCUGCCCAUUUCCUCAAGUUUGCAUGCUGGGUCUCUUGGCUUGAGCCCAGUGCACACCCUGGCCCACAGUGGGCACCAGGGGAUAAGGCCCUGAGCUGGGGAGACAGGUCCUGCCUCCAGAGAGGUGUUUCUGCAAACAGAGACCAUCCCUGAGUUGAGAUGGAGGGGUGUCUAGACAACUCACUGCAGAAAAGCAAGAUGGUCGGUGACUUUGUAUAGUGAGAGGUCAGCAUCCUCCGCAGGUUCUGCAGGCACCCUGCAUGUCAUCCCUGAAACCCAAGGUGGGGGGGGGAGGCAUCACAGUGAGGGCAUACUAGAGCCAGGGACAGGGGGCGAGGAGGGAGCAGGCCAGCUCCUGCAUCCUGAGGGAGCCCAGGAACCUCUGACUGGGCACAGCACAAGAGGCGAGGACCCGCCUGCCUGAAUGGGAGCAGCCUCACCUGCUUCUACUGGCUAGGAUCCUCACCUGGGCCUCACCUGCUCAUCCUUGGCUAUGAUCCUGCCUGGGACGUACCUGCUCCUGUUACAUGAUCCCCACCUGGGUCUCAUCUGUUCCUGCUGCCUAUGAUCUCCGCCUGGGCUGUUCCUGCUCAUCCUUGACUAUGGCCCCCACCAGGGAAGUACCUGCUUCUACUGGGGAUGACCCCUGCUUGGGCCUUACCUGCUAUUGAUGCUUAUGAUUCCUGCCUGGGUCUCACCUGCUUGUCCUUCACUAUCAUUCCUGCUUGGACCUGCUCGUCCUUGGCUAUGAUCCCGCACUGAGUCUCCCCUGCUUCUGCUGGCCAUGGUCCCUGCCUGGCCUGUAUCUGCUCCUAGUGGCUAUGAUCUCCCCCUGGGCCUUACCUGAUUGCAUUUGGCUGUUAUCGCUGCUUGUUCUAGGGCCAGCUGGCUCCCCAGGUCCUCCUUCGUGUCCAUGCUGCAAGACAAAAACUCUGAGUAUUACACUGCACUGAAGAGCUUCAAGAACAAACAAGUCUGUUCCCUCUUGGCAGCUCCCCAGGCUGUCCGAUCUGAGUGGAGAAAACCCUACAGCCAGGUUGGGUGACAUCCUGGGUUGGUGGAUCAUAGGUUCACACUCACUUUCUAACACUCCCGCUUACAGGCUGCCUUCCCAGCCACCUGGGAAAUUCCGUCAUAAUGAGAUUACAAAGCUCUCUUCAGCCAGCUUUAUAAGGGACAGGAGGACCCAGAGGUCAGAUGGACUGCUGAUCUGCAGUGCAGUGUGGUGUCCUCUCGACCCGGCGCUGGCACUGAGGAAAGGAGAGGGCAGCUGCUGCUGAUGAGCGGCUUCCUGCAGGCUUACUGGGAAUCAAAUUUUGCUCUUGGACACCAAAAGCACAAGCAAUAAAAAAAAUCAAUAAACUUGACUUCAUCACAAUUAAAACUUCAGUGCUUCAAAUGAUAGCAUCGAGAAAGCAAAAAGGCAACCCACAUGAUGGGUGAAAAUGAAUGCAAAUUGCCUAUCUGAUACCAGGUCUAGUAUACAGAAUACGUAAAGAACUCAUAACUCAACAAUGAAAAGACGAAUAGCCCAGUUAGAAAAUGGACAAAGGACUUAGACAGACAUUUCUCUAAAGUGAUAGACUAACGGCCAACAAGCACAUGAAAAGAUGUGCAAUGGCGUUAGCCCUCGGGGAAAUGCAAAUCAAAACCACAAUGAGAUACUACUUGUCACCCAUUGGAAUGGCUGUUACCAAGAAAAUGGAAAAGAACAAGUGUUGGCGAGGAUGUGGAGAAAUUAGAACACUCCUCUGUUGCUGGAAGGAAUGUAAAAUGGUGCAGCUGCUGUGGAAAACAGUUUGGUAGUUCCUCAAAAAGUUAAACCUAGAGUUACCAUAUGACCCAGCAAUUCUGCUCAUAGGUAUAGACCCAGGAGAAGUGAAAACAGGUACUCAAAUAUUUGCACGUGCAUAUUCAUAGAAGAACUACUCACAAUAGCAAAAAGGCGGAAACAGUCUAAGUGUCUAUGGACAGAUGAAUGGAUAAACAAAAUGUGAUCUAUACAUGCAAUGGAAUAUUAUUCCACCGUAGAAAGGAACGAAAUUUUGGUACAUGCUACUACAUGGAUGGACAUUAUGCUAAGUGAAAGAAGUCAGACACAAAAGGCUACAUAUUGUAUGAUUCCAUUUAUAUGAAAUGUCCAGAAUAGCCAGAUCUAUAGACACAGCAAGUGGUCCAGUGGUCCACAGGGGCUGGGGGAGAGGGCCAUGGGGGCACCUGCUGAUGGGUAAGAGAUUUCUUUGUGGGGUAGUGAAACGCUGUGGAAAUAGUGAUGACAACUGCACAACUCUGUAAAUACUCUAAAAACCACUGAGUUGUAUACUUUAAUGGCUGAAUUUGAUGAUUUAUGAAUUUAACAAAAUCCGUCCUCAGAGCCACAUUCCCCACCAUCCCAAUCCUGAGGGAUCCUGAAGGUGGGAGUUGAGAACUGCACAUAGAUUGAAAGAACUUCCAGGGGCACUCCCACCCAUGGACACCCCCUUGCUCCUGCCCUCUCAGCUGUUCCCUGGACCAUGCACUUAACCUGGGGAUGUCCCUGCAGCAGGGUAGAGCAGGGAUUGGAGACCAGAGGUCUCUAGGACCAGCUUCCAGGCGCUUCCACAGACCAGGCAAGCACCCAGUCCUUAAUAGGCAACAGGAACUCUUACAUCUACUCCAUUCUCCUUAAAUCUUAACUGAUUCUGGCUGGUGAAUCAACCUAGAGAACAGCACCAAUCAAUCGGGAGGGUUUGGGUUUACCUUGUGGGACAUGAGGUCCUGGAGAACACCCAGAUGGACUGAACCACCAGGGAGCAUACAAGGGGCAUGGGGUGGGUGACAAGUCUAGAGAACUUGGGACAGGGGGCUGUGCCCCUGUUCCAGCCCUCAGGACAGAUGCUCAUCACCUGUCCAGGGGUCCCCAAAUCUAGACAGGCUGGAGAGGUCAAGGCUAGAGUCUAGCAUCACACAGUGCGGGGCUUCUGAGUGAGUGGUGGGGCCCUGGGCGAGUUGUCGAAGCUCUAACCUCAGUCUCCUCUCCUGGAGGCACCACGGGCAGCACCCCACACCCCAGGAUGCUGUGGGAGGGCUGCAUGAGGCCGGAUCACUGUCAGUGCCAGGGGGUCAGUGUCACCCUUGGCCUCAGCCCAGGUAGGCCAGCGCUGCCCACUCAUUGGCCACUGUUCCAAAAGUGGCCCCAAGGGAAGAGGGAGCAGGUUACGCUCACCUGUCUUACCAAUCUCUGUGAGAGUUGUCUAGAAAGGGACGUGAAGGUCAAGUGGGGCAGUGCGAGUGUUGCAGAGCCUAUCGCAGAGCACGAGUGCCUCCAACUAUGUGGACAGGAAGCAGAGUGGGUGCCAGGCAGUGGGCAGAACUGUGGGAAGGACUGCCAUUCCUCCCGACAGUGAAGCCUCUGGGUCCACAGUGCAGACCAGUGGAACAGGGUCAGCACUUAGUCCUUAACCCCUGAAGGUCAAGCACCCCAGGGGAAGGGUCCUGUCACCACGCAGGGCACAGGUGAGGGAGGGCAGGUGUGAGCCCAAGGAGCAGGAGACCCAGGUGCAUAUGUCCUCUGUCCCCUGCAGGACGAGCUCCGUGCCCCAACAAUCCUCACUGUCCUUCCCUCCUGCUCUUCCCCUGCUUGUUAGCAGUGCGUGGAGUAUGCUCAUAUCGACUUUUUAAGCCUUUUUAUUUUGAAUUAACAAUCAGCACAGCAAGUUCCCCCACAUGCCUCACCUAGCUUCCCUGAGGCUCCCCGGGUCUGACAAUCAAACCAGGGGCUCAGGCGGGUACAGCCUGCACUGGGGCCCCAUCCUGGCCCCUCACUGCUUGCUCUGCGUUGGCCUGGGCCCCCUGCUCCUCACUGAUCCUCCUCCUCUUCUUCCCCCUCCUCCAUCCUCCUCCAUUUGACUCCUCUUUCUUCCUCCUCCUCCAUAUUCCUUUACUUCCACCUCCAUUUCCUCCUCCAUCCUCUUCCAUCUCCUGCCUCCUUUCUCUGAUUCCUCCACCUUUCUCCUCUUCCAUCUUCCUCCUCCAUCCUCCUCCUCUGCUAUCCUCCUCUAUUCUCCUCCGUCCUCCUCUUCCGUCUCCUCCUCCUCCAUCCACCUCCUGCUGCUCCCCCGCCUCCAUUCUCCUCUCCUGUCCCCUCCAUCCUCCUCCUCCUCCUCCCUCCUUCCUCCUCCAUCCUGUGUCCCCCUCUGACACCCUGCCUCCCUCAGGCGGGGCUGGGCUCUGAGCAGACCUGCACAGACAGGAGGCCCCCCUGGGCCAGGCCACGUCAGAACAACCCUCCAAGCUUGGAGACUCACUGCAACCCAAGGAUGUCACCACAUCUCACAACAAAUUUCACUGUCGUUCAUGUUUUAUUAGUAUAAGUGCCUUAAAAGCAGAUCAGAGAUUCAACUAAUUUGCUCAUUAGUAAAAGGAAAUUAGCCAUUUGAGAUCUGUUCUAAUAAAAUUAGCUUGGUGACAAAGGCUUUGUUGCCACGUUUAUUAGAUUACCAUACUCCUCGCAUUUUAAAGGCCAGAGCGGUCAGCAAGUCUUCAGGGUGUUCUCAGAGCUUCUCUCUUCCAGGUUUUUGUACUUCCUUUCAGGCCUGUGGAGGAUUAUUUUUUCCCCUUUCAUGGCUAAUUUGGAAAGUCUGACCCAAAUCUGUGUUCACUCACACAUCCCACAAGUCCUUGGGGUGCACAGUAUCCCUCUCCCCGCUACCCCGAUGUGCUCCCACCUCCCACCUCUUGGCUUGGCCCUGCCCCCAGCCCCAGCCCCUAGGUUUCUAUGUUGCUGGUCCUUUAAGGGAGCCAGUGGCCCCCUGCCAUGCCCAGCCCAGCCACAGGCUGGCAGCAGCAGCCCCCUCCACUUCCCUAAUUGCCUGGUGGGCUUUUUCACUAUUCCUUGCAUGGUCUCCCUGCCCCACGGAGCCUUCUGCCUUAUACUCCAGCUUAAGACCACCCGGCUCCACUUAGUCAUCUGUUUCUAUGCCCCUGGAAGUGAACCACCCCCAGUAGUGUGGUCAGCUCCCUUGUUUGCUUCUAUCCUGCAUGUGCUUGGCUGGCUGGUGCUCAGCUGGCAUGGAUGGGAAACUCUAUGAAGCAGCCCAUUGUACACCGAGCUGCCUGGAGGGCCCCCAUGUGUCUGAGGCCGGGGGAGGGAUGUGUGGGUCCUGAGAAGCCCCUAGCUAAUCCCAGACUGUAUGAUUUAAGAGCAAGUGCUCCCCAGCGUGGCCACAGCCCUCUGCUGGCACCUCUCUUUUAGCAGCAUUUCAUCCUACCCUGUGUAUCAUUUUCACAACCACCAUGAGCACCAUCUCUGUACCAGGCGCUGGGUCAGUCAGUGCUUUCUACGCAUUCUUCUGUUUAAUCGUCUGGAUGACAUAAGGAGGCAGACGGCACUGUUAUUCUCAUUUUAAAGAUACAGGGACUGAUGUCUAGAAAGUUUCCUUACCCUGCUUGUAAGCUGCAGAGUAAAUGCGAACCCAGCCUCAUGUGUCUGCAAAGUACCUGACUCUAACCAUUGGGCUAUUCUGUGUGCUUGGGGAAGUGCUGCCGGCCCAUCCUGAGCAUGGGGUGUGAGCUUCCUGAAGGUGGGUCUGUGGCUCAGACAUCGUACAUCCCUCACGGUGCCUGGCACAGACUGGUGUGUGGUGCGUGCUCAGGCACGUUACUGAGGGAACAGGUGGAGGGGGGAGAGAUGAUCAGACAGCCUCAACUACUCUGGGGUCAGGGUCACAGGCCCAUGGCAGGGGACCCUGGGCUGGUCCAGCAGAACCUGAGUGCUUUUCCUCUUUUCCCUUUCCUCCAGCAGCCCCAGGCCCAGCGUCUCCUGGCCCCUCCCGGCUCCCUCCGCUCCUGGUACAAAUCGUUGGCUCAGACAACAGCGAUGGGUUUAUCCCACAGGAUGUGACUCUGAAUAUUAGAAUGUCAGGAGCGUCUGCCUUCGCGAUAAGUUGCUGUCAGAGAGGAAAUAAGAGGGGAGUUGGAGUUAUUUAAUUUGGAGCGUGCAGGCGACAGGCUGGGCCUGAGGGCUUGCUGCUGUUUCCCAGCAGUUGGGGCAUCAAAGCCCCCAGGACCACCCCCUUGAUUCUCACCCUCCCGCUGGUCACGCCCUCCUCCAGCCCCCUCACCUCUAGCCCCACGUCCCACAGGGGUGCCUGGCGCCCACUGAGCCUUUGCUGACACCUCCCCUCCCUCCAGAGCUCUCUUACCUCCUACCUCUCAAGCACCCACCCCCAAACCCUGCAGUCCUCGGCAC